GUCUAACCCAAGGUUCUCCCACAGCAGCUAAUGCAGCAGCAGCAGGCAUUGCGGAAGACACAUAAUCUCUUUUUUUGAUAAAUCGAGCAAAGAAAAACAAGCCUAAGAGUAUAAACCAAAAGAACAGCUCGGAAAUAUAACCUCUCACAGCAGCAAAUCCCAUUAUUCCAGCUGCUGUAAGAAGGUACGGUUGGCUGUUCACAGAAUCUGGAGCUGCCGCUUCACCAAUAGCAAGAACACAAGAGGCCAAAAUGAUGAUUGUUGUCAGCUCUUGUACUGGUGCAUAUGCAAUUACACUGGAGUAGAAAGCUCGAAUGGAAUAAAUUGAUGAUUCAAUAAAUCUAAUUACAGCUGUGAUCUGAUCCCCUAUGAAGUAGUAUACAACAGCGAAUGCAAGUUUCGAGAUGUAACCGAGAAAUCGGAAGACAGCAUCCACAGCCUUUUUCCAAUUACCCAGUUCCCAUAAGACAGUCCUCCAGGCAUAUAGAAGAAAGGCUAAUGCUAUGAACCAAGGCCAUCUAACAGGCUUAUCAGGAGCUUCUUUAGUCAAGUAUCUGAAUCUAUCAGGCAUUGUGCUCUCUCCACGAACAUCAAUUUCAGCUUUAUCAACACUAUUCCCAUAAUCUACUCCACUACUCUCAGCUUCCACAAUAAACCCAUUUUUCCUACGUAACUGAAAUCCACAAUCACUAGUGAAAAUUCCACAACAUUUGUG
rnacentral:misc_RNA from 1 species